rnacentral:rRNA from 1 species
GAUGAACGCUGGCGGCGUGCCUAAUACAUGCAAGUCGAGCGAACAGACGAGGAGCUUGCUCCUCUGACGUUAGCGGCGGACGGGUGAGUAACACGUGGAUAACCUACCUAUAAGACUGGGAUAACUUCGGGAAACCGGAGCUAAUACCGGAUAAUAUAUUGAACCGCAUGGUUCAAUAGUGAAAGACGGUUUUGCUGUCACUUAUAGAUGGAUCCGCGCCGCAUUAGCUAGUUGGUAAGGUAACGGCUUACCAAGGCAACGAUGCGUAGCCGACCUGAGAGGGUGAGCGGCCACACUGGAACUGAGACACGGUCCAGUCUCCUACGGGAGGCAGCAGUAGGGAAUCUUCCGCAAUGGGCGAAAGCCUGACGGAGCAACGCCGCGUGAGUGAUGAAGGUCUUCGGAUCGUAAAACUCUGUUAUUAGGGAAGAACAAAUGUGUAAGUAACUAUGCACGUCUUGACGGUACCUAAUCAGAAAGCCACGGCUAACUACGUG